GACCCUGCAGCACACCACUAACCAUCUGAAGACUCACUCGAGGUGUUUCUGAAUGGUCUCCUUUGCCCAGCCAGUGGUGGGCACCUCCCAUUUAUUUACAGCUCAUUCUUCCCUGUGUAGUCCUGUUGAUCUGGUCGCAAGUUGGGUUUACUCCCAUUAUUAGUGCUAUUAUCAAGUCAUAGAAUUGUUUGAGCGGGAAGGGACCCUUAAAGGCCAUCACUCCAAUUCCCCUGCAGUGAACAGGGGCACCUACAGCUCCAUCAGGUGCUCAGAGCCCUGUCCAGCCUGACCUUGAAUGCCUCCAGGGAUGGGGCACCACCACCUCUCUGGGCAACCUGUGCCAGUGCCUCAUCACCCUGACUGUAAAAACUUUUUCCUUUCUAUCAAGACUAAACCUCUGUUAGUUUGAAACCAUUUCCCCUUGUCCUGUCACAACAGACCCCACUAAAGAGUCUGUCCCCUCCUUUCUUACAGCCCCCCUUUAGAUACUAAAAGGCUGCUAUUAGGAUUAAACUUGCUUUUUCCUCCCAGGUCUUGCUGGUGGAACAGACGUGAUCUCACGUGAGUGUAAUCUUGCCAGCAAACAAGAAACAGUGUGAGCUGGAAGGACGGACCCGAGCAGCACUGCAUGCAGGAGGUGCCCUGCUUGCUAAUUGCUGAGCAGGUGGCAAAGCUGUGGCUUAAGAUGAGAGAUGGGGCAAGAGGAAGGACAUCUUUGUGGCUGUGCAGAGGAGCAUGUGUGAAGGGGGUGAGCUGCACACUGUCUCCUGCAGCCCCUCCAUCCUUCUGGGUACGCUAUUACAAAUACCCCAGUACUGUUUCUCCUAUUUGUUUGCAAAUUACCAGUGAACCUACAGUGAUUCCCUUGAGUUUCUCACGCGGCUCCUGUAAAGAAGGCCUUCUCCUCCCCAUUUUCAUUUCACUCCUGGUCAGGACACAGCACCCCAGGCAUCAACAUGCCAGUGAGCAAACAGGUUGCAGCCGUCAGCAGGGCGAAUUGGCAGGGCAAACCUCAGCUGAUGUGUUCAUCCAGAUGGCAUCUCAGCAUAGCGGGGCCCAGCAAACUCCAACUACUGUUCUAGAGAUUAAAAAAUAAAUAAAUAAAGGGGGGGGGGGGNNNNNNNNNNGGGGGGGG
rnacentral:lncRNA from 1 species